rnacentral:rRNA from 1 species
GCAGUCGAGCGGAGAUGAGGUGCUUGCACCUUAUCUUAGCGGCGGACGGGUGAGUAAUGCUUAGGAAUCUGCCUAUUAGUGGGGGACAACAUUCCGAAAGGAAUGCUAAUACCGCAUACGCCCUACGGGGGAAAGCAGGGGAUCUUCGGACCUUGCGCUAAUAGAUGAGCCUAAGUCGGAUUAGCUAGUUGGUGGGGUAAAGGCCUACCAAGGCGACGAUCUGUAGCGGGUCUGAGAGGAUGAUCCGCCACACUGGGACUGAGACACGGCCCAGACUCCUACGGGAGGCAGCAGUGGGGAAUAUUGGACAAUGGGCGGAAGCCUGAUCCAGCCAUGCCGCGUGUGUGAAGAAGGCCUUUUGGUUGUAAAGCACUUUAAGCGAGGAGGAGGCUACUUAGAUUAAUACUCUAGGAUAGUGGACGUUACUCGCAGAAUAAGCACCGGCUAACUCUGUGCCAGCAGCCGCGGUAAUACAGAGGGUGCGAGCGUUAAUCGGAUUUACUGGGCGUAAAGCGUGCGUAGGCGGCUGAUUAAGUCGGAUGUGAAAUCCCUGAGCUUAACUUAGGAAUUGCAUUCGAUACUGGUCAGCUAGAGUAUGGGAGAGGAUGGUAGAAUUCCAGGUGUAGCGGUGAAAUGCGUAGAGAUCUGGAGGAAUACCGAUGGCGAACGCAGCCAUCUGGCCUAAUACUGACGCUGAGGUACGAAAGCAUGGGGAGCAAACAGGAUUAGAUACCCUGGUA